rnacentral:rRNA from 1 species
UAGCCGUAAACGAUACUCGCUAGGUGUCGGCCACGGUGCGACCGUUGUCGGUGCCGUAGGGAAGCCGUGAAGCGAGCCACCUGGGAAGUACGGCCGCAAGGCUGAAACUUAAAGGAAUUGGCGGGGGAGCACCACAACGGGUGGAGCUUGCGGUUUAAUUGGAUUCAACGCCGGAAAUCUUACCGGGAUCGACAGCAACAUGAAGGCCAAGCUGAAGACUUUGCCGGAUUAGCUGAGAGGUGGUGCAUGGCGUAGUCGUGU